UAUCGUUAUUACUUCUGAGUAACAUUGCUCACGAAACAGUGUUUGAAAGCAGGAAGAAGAAGCCCUAAACCUGCAAUGGAUAGAAGUUCAAAUUCCAGCCAAACAAAUUGAAAACGAACUCAAAGUAAAUUUUAGAGAUGAUAAUGCGGAAGAUUUUGAGAACUUUAUGGCACACACACCUAAAAGAAAACGUGUUAUAGAACCUGCAGCCUCAUAAGCCUAUCCGUCAGCUUCUGUGACCAGACAAAC
rnacentral:lncRNA from 1 species